rnacentral:lncRNA from 10 species
GGAGACUCGCCCCGACUUUGGGGUCCGCCAGCGGCGGCCGGGCGGAGGGCGGGGGACCGCAAUCGUGGGGGGAGUCACCCCGCGGGGCCCGGCGGGCGAAACGGGCCGGGCUUCAGAGCCGCAGUAAAUGAGGCCCGGGGCGGGCGGGGGUGGACACGGCCUCGGGGCCACGGCCUCCCCCGCCGAGCAAGGCAUUCCUUUCCGCUGAACUGGGCGCCCGGGCCCGCGCCGCGCCCUGCACGCCUCGCGCCCGGCGAUCGGGCCCAGGGCGGGGGAGCAGGGAGGCGGCCCCAGCCGGUCGCCGGCGCCCCCAGGCGCUGCUUCCCAGGAGCUCGGCUCCCCGGGAUGGAAGGGACUGAUACCCAGUUAAUGGGCGUGGAGCCUGAGCCCCUGAGGGUCGUCGCUAACGGGGGUCGCUCAGCAGGGCCGGCCUCCGCUGCCUGCCCGGGGUGUCUAAUCACCUCUCCGAUCCUUUGCCCGGAUCUGAGCUUCGUCAUUCACGCCCCUCCUCCCUGGCGACUUUGGGCCUGGUGACAGUCCCCCGACCCUCGCAGAGCCAGGGGCACAGUAGGCGCCUUAGCCACUGGCAGAAUUUCACCGGCGCUCUGCCCGACGCCCCCAGCCCCAGGGCCGGGCGUGGGUGGAAGUGUCUGGAAGGGUGGGUUCACCAGGGCUGGGCACGUCAGCGGCCCCGUACAGAGAAUCCGGUGCCUGGGGUCUCUGGAGGGGGUACUCAGAGUAUCCGAGGAGGAGACUCCUGGAUGCUAACAGAGCCCCCAGUUAGGAGCAGUCCGCGAGACAGUUGGUAACAGUGCUGGCCUUGCCCGGGCGCCGGAAGGUUCCGUGAGGCCCAGCAAGUCCUGACUUGGCACAGGGCCCAGCACACGGCGCAGUAACAAUAUAAUUACCGUAUGCAGUCCCCCAGGAUACAGGGUCAAAGGAGAGCACAACCAUCGCAGUUGGAAGCCCAUGGGGCAGCAGGGCCCAGGACACAGUGAGCAUACAAUAGACAUUAGCUGCUGUGGUGUCUUGAUUUCAAGCCCAGUGCAGAUGCAUCUGACUUACGAAACUUCAGUGACACCUGCUCUGUGCCAGACACUGAAGAUGGAGCAGUGAACAGCACUGACCCAGCCUGUCCUCCUGUUGCCUGCAGGCCAGACGGAGUCUCACUCUGUCACCAGGCUGGAGUACAGUGGUGUGAUCUCGGCUCACUGCAACCUCCGCCUCCCAGGUUCAAGCGAUUCUCCUGCCUCAGCCUCUCAAGUAGCUGAGAUUACAGACGUGUGUCACCAUGCCCUGUUAAUUUUUGUUUGUUUGUUUUGUUUUUUGUUUUGUUUUGUUUCGUUUUUUGUUUUUUUUUUUUGAGACGGAGUCUUGCUCUGUCGCCCAGGCUGGAGUGCAGUGGCCCCGAUCUCGGCUCACCGCAAGCUCCGCCUCGCGGGUUCAUGCCAUUCUCCGGCCUCAGCCUCCCGAGUAGCUGGGACUACAGGCAUCCGCCACCACACCCAGCUAAUUUUUUGUAUUUUUUUUAGUAGAGACGGGGUUUCACUGUGUUAGCCAGGAUGGUCUCGAUCCCCUGACCUUGUGAUCCACCCAAGGCCUCGGCCUCCCAAAGUGCUGGGAUUACAGGCAUGAGCCACCGUGCCCGGUCAAUUUUUAUAUUUUUUGUAGAGACAGGGUUUCACCAUGUUGGCCAGGCUGGUGUCGAACUCCCGACCUCAGGUGAUUGUCGGCCUUGGCCUCCCAAAGUGCUGGGAUUACAGGCGUGAGCCACCGCGCCCAGCCGGUGGGCAGCCAGUUGUGUUCCGGGAGGAGGAGGACACCCUGGAAAGACAGUGGGGCCAGACACUGAACUGCCUUUGGAAGCAAGUAGGAGCAACAGCGAAGGUUUGCUGGCUCAGAAGCAAGGUCUCGCUGUGUUACCCUGGCUGGAGUGCAGUGGCUACUUACAGGCAUGAUCAUAGCAUACUGCAGCCUCGAACUCCUGGACUAGAGCAGUUCUCCUGCCUCAGCCUCCAGAGCAGCUGGGACUGCAGACACGCACCACAGAGCCCAGCCUGAGUCAUUUUGAUUCUGUAACUGGCUUCCUCUCGGCGGGCAGGCUCACACCCUCCACCCCCAGCUGGAGAUGGAAGGAGGAUGCUCACCGCCCAUUCCUCAUGCAGGCCAUCGAUGGAAAUGUCAGACAGUGCGAGUCCACGCCUGAACACUUCUGGGGUCCGCUCUGGGACUGACACUGGCAGAUCCAUCGGUGAGCUCCCGCCUGCCACCUCUGGGCCUGCAUUGCGGUGAUAGGGCCAAGGGCCUGGGCCUUCAAUUCUCCAGACUUGCCAAAAUGCUCAGCGCAGGCCUCGUCGGCAACUGCAGACAAGCAGAGGCAGCACCUGGGCUCUGCCUGUGCCUGGCACAGUGAAGCGAGGGUGGGGGCAGGAAUGAGGGUCCUCUCCAUGCAAGGGGGGAAGAUAGAAGAACAAAAUUUCACCCUAAUGUAGUGUCUUUAGACCGUGCAAUGUUGUGCUCCUGUUAGUCUGAUAUCAGGGGCUUGCAGCCUGGCAAAGGAAAAAAAACAGGCUGAGGCACAUGAUAGAAGACAGGCAGGGAUGCCACAAUCAUAACCAUGGCAAAGACCAGGAUCAGAAAGGCCCACCAUCUCUGACCCCAAAUCCCUGGGCAGAUGGUUCCAGAACUCAGAAUUUUCCCAGUUGUAGAAAGAUGGGGCCAGGUGCAGUGGCUCACGCCUGUAAUCCCAGCAUUUUGGGAGUACAAGGUGGGCGGAUCACCUGAGGUCAGGAGUUCGAGACCAGCCUGGCCAACAUGGUGAAACCCUGUCUCUACUAAAAAAAAAAAAAAAAAUUAGCCGGGCGUGGCGAUGCAUGCCUGUAAUCCCAGCUACUCGGGAGGCUGAGCCAGGAGAAUUGCUUGAACCCGGGAGGCGGAGGUUGCAGUGAGCCAAGAUCGCGCCACUACACUCCAGUCCGGGCGACAGAGCAAGAGUCCAUUCCCCCACCACCAAAAAAAAAAAAAAAAGAAAGAAAGAUGAUGUGAUACAUAUCACAUAUUUCCUAACACCCCCAACCAAACACAUUUAUGCAUAUGCAUAAAGCAGACGAGGAAAGAUUCUAAAUAGGCUCUGAAUCUCAGUUUUCUCAUCUCUACAAUGGGGCAGUGAUGGCAUGCACCUCCCAGGGCUGUUCUGAGAAUCUGAUGCCUCCCAUUGCACUGGUGAGCCUGGCACAGGCACAGGUCCCACCCCAGGCCCUUUGAACUGGCUGUUCCUUUGGCCUGGAACAUUCCUCCCCAGAUACCUCCUGAGAGGGCUCCCUCACUUCCUUCAAGGCACUGCUCAAAUGCUACCUCUUCACAGAGGCUUUCCCUGACCACCCCGUCUCUUUCCUCUUCCUGCAUAGCCUCUGUCACCUGACAUUUUAUGUCAUAAAUUACUCAUUUAUUAAUUUCCUGCUCUCCCACAGUGGCACCCGAGCUCUGUGAGGGCAAGACUUUGUUCGGUUGUGGGCUAUGCCCCCAACCCCUCGGACAGUGCCUGCACAGGUGGACAUUUUUGUUGGAUGAAGGAUUUUCUGUUAAAUGUGUCUGGCACACACAGAAAAACAAAGCCCAGCAGAUGCCGUUCCAUUGUUUGCUGACUUUCAUUGAUUCUAUGAGAAGUCUGCAGUCUUUUGCAGCGUUGUUUUCCUAUGUAUAAUUGUCUCCUCCCACCCCACUCACCCCAGCUGCUUUCCACAUUCUCUCUCUUUGAUUUUCAGCAGUCUGCCCAUGAUGUGCCUAAAUAGGACUUUCUUUGCAUUCAUCUUGGCUGGGGCUCACUGAACUUUCUGAAUCUGUAGAUUAAUUUUCUUUUUUCAAUAAACCUUGGAAUAUUUUCAGCAUAAUUUUUUUCCUGUCUUCUUCUCUCUCUUUUCUCCUCUGAAAU